GCUCGUGUAGAUUACUAGAAAUUAUAAUGCUGUUAACUUUAAGAAGGCUUAUGAGGCCCUCGGGCG
rnacentral:tRNA from 1 species